rnacentral:rRNA from 1 species
GAUGAACGCUGGCGGCGUGCUUAACACAUGCAAGUCGAACGGAAAGGCCCUGCUUUUGUGGCGUGCUCGAGUGGCGAACGGGUGAGUAACACGUGAGUAACCUACCCUCGACUUUGGGAUAACUUCAGGAAACUGGGGCGAAUACCGGAUAGGAGCACCGGCUGCAUUGGGGGGGUUGGAAAGGUUCGGCGGUGGGGGAUGUACUCGCGGCUUAUAAGCUUGUGGGUGGGGUAGUGGCGUACCAAGUCUAUGUCGGGUAGCCGGCCUGAGAGGGUGACCGGCACCAUUGGGACUGUGAUACAGCCCAGUCUCCUCAGGGAGGGAGCGGUGAGGAAUAUUGUGCAAUGGGAGGAAGCCUGUUGCAGCACCGCCGUGUGCGGGAUAACAACCUUUAGGGUGUAUACCGCUUUCGCCUGUGACGAAGCGUAAGUGACGGUAAUGGGUAAAGAAGCAACGGCUAACUACGUG